AUCCAUUUAGCUUGAAAUCUAUACCUAUGUAAACAAUCAUUCACUAUCAAAAACUGAUUAUGAUAAUAUCCAUCAAAUCUUUCUUGGUCCCGAAUGUCUUGUAAUGUAACAUAUCCUUUCUCCAUCCAUGGCUUUAAAACCGUCGAAUGUCUUGUAAUGUUACAUAUCCUUUCUCCAUCCAUGGCUUUAAAACCGCCAUUACUCCUUCGUGUAUACCUCCAGCAUCAUGAAUUACGAAAUGAGAUUUCUCUCCGAAUAAUCUAACGUGAAAAGCUA
rnacentral:lncRNA from 1 species